rnacentral:rRNA from 1 species
CAAGUCGUACGGGCCGCAAGGCCAGUGGCGCAAGGGUGAGUAAGGCGACGGUAACCAACCCUACGAUUGGGUAUAGCCGCGAGAAACUGCGGGUAAUCCCCAGCGACGUCCGAGGGGGGCAUCCCCUGCGGACCAAAGCUCUGGCGUCGUGGGACGGGCCGUCGUGGUAUUAGGUUGUUGGCGGGGUAACGGCCCACCAAGCCUGCGAUGCCUACCGGGCGUGCGAGCGCGACCCGGCACACUGGGACUGAGACACUGCCCAGACUCCUACGGGAGGCUGCAGUCGAGAAUCUUCGGCAAUGGGCGCAAGCCUGACCGAGCGACGCCGCGUGGAGGACGAAGGCCUUCGGGUUGUAAACUCCUGUCGAGGGGGAAGAAGGGUCGCAAGACCUUGACUGAACCCUGGAGGAAGCACGGGCUAAGUUCGUGCCAGCAGCCGCGGUAAGACGAACCGUGCGAACGUUAUUCGGAAUCACUGGGCUUAAAGCGCGUGUAGGCGGGACGGCACGUCGGUCGCUGAAAUCCCCCGGCUCAACCGGGGAACGGGCGCCGAUACGACCGUCCUGGAGGGACGUAGGGGGACCUGGAACUUCCAGUGGAGCGGUGAAAUGCGUUGAGAUCGGAAGGAACGCCCGUGGCGAAAGCGAGGUCCUGGACGUUUUCUGACGCUGAGACGCGAAAGCCAGGGGAGCGAACGGGAUUAGAUACCCCAGUAGUCCUGGCCGUAAACGAUGGGCACUGGGUAGGGGGCUCGCCGAUGGGCUCCCUGCCGCAGGGAAACCGUGAAGUGCCCCGCCUGGGGAGUAUGGUCGCAAGGCUGAAACUCAAAGGAAUUGACGGGGGCUCACACAAGCGGUGGAAGCAUGUGGCUUAAUUCGAGGCUAC